rnacentral:rRNA from 1 species
AUUGAACGCUGGCGGCAGGCCUAACACAUGCAAGUCGAGCGGAUGCAGGGAGCUUGCUCCUGGAUUCAGCGGCGGACGGGUGAGUAAUGCCUAGGAAUCUGCCUGGUAGUGGGGGAUAACGUCCGGAAACGGGCGCUAAUACCGCAUACGUCCUGAGGGAGAAAGUGGGGGAUCUUCGGACCUCACGCUAUCAGAUGAGCCUAGGUCGGAUUAGCUAGUUGGUGGGGUAAAGGCCUACCAAGGCGACGAUCCGUAACUGGUCUGAGAGGAUGAUCAGUCACACUGGAACUGAGACACGGUCCAGACUCCUACGGGAGGCAGCAGUGGGGAAUAUUGGACAAUGGGCCAAAUCCUGAUCCAGCCAUGCCGCGUGUGUGAAGAAGGUCUUCGGAUUGUAAAGCACUUUAAGUUGGGAGGAAGGGCAGUAAGUUAAUACCUUGCUGUUUUGACGUUACCAACAGAAUAAGCACCGGCUAACUUCGUG